rnacentral:ncRNA from 1 species
CAAUAAGCAAAAUAAGGGCGUAUGGGGAUGCCUAGGCUCUCAGAGGCGAAGAAGGACGUGAUAAGCUGCGAAAAGCUGCGGGGACGAGCACACAUCGAUCGAUCCGCAGAUAUCCGAAUGGGGCAACCCACUAUGUUGAAGACCAUAGUACACCGAUAGNGUGGGCAAACCCCGCUGAACUGAAACAUCUAAGUAGGCGGAGGAGAAGAAAACAAAAGUGAUUCCGUAA